rnacentral:misc_RNA from 1 species
AACGUAGGAGGCAAGCGUUAUCCGGAUUUACUGGGCGUAAAGCGCAUGCAGGCGGAAGCCAAAGUCGGACGUGAAAGCUCCUGGCUCAACUAGGAGAGGCCGUUCGAAACUAGGUUUCUAGAGGCUGGUAGAGGAGAGUGGAAUUCCCGGUGUAGUGGUGAAAUGCGUAGAUAUCGGGAGGAACACCAGUGGCGAAAGCGGCUCUCUGGGCCAGUCCUGACGCUCAGAUGCGAAAGCUAGGGGAGAGAACGGG